AACCAUAUAUUAUUCUUUUGUUUGUUUCCCGUCUCUUCAGUUUCUCAAAGAUAUACUCCAAUUCAUUUUGUUCUUGAUGCUCUUUAAAUCUGAUAUGAAACUUGGGGUUAGAUAGUAAGGCAUGAGGGAGAAGAGUGCAAGUAAGGAAGGAGAGACUAUUUAAAGCUCUUCAUCGGAAACAAAAGUAAACUUUCUCUCUUUCCUUUCUUUCUGUCUCAAGUGUUUGCUUUCCUCUAUAUUUAAUCAGGACUAUGCAACAGGCUUAUUUGGGUUUCUGAUUGUGGAAUGCAUGUAUCUCUGUUGAUUAUGGUUGGAAUCUUUUGGUUGACUGUGUUAGCCAAUUUCAUCUAAAACAACAUGUCAGUAUAGUUUAAAUAUCCAAAUUCUAAUUUCAAAAUUCAAUGUAGUUCCAUAAUCUUCAGAGAAUAGAGAAUGGAUUCUGUACUUAGAUUUGGUGGCGAUUUCCAAAUGUAGAAGGGCUUGCCUGAAAAUGUUGAAGAAGUGUAUCAGUGAGAAGUUUAGCAAAAGAUCCAGGAGAGUAACGUUUGCUAGAGUUAUAAAAUUUAGGCUUAAGAUAGUUGUUGGUGCAGCCAUUGCUGCCUAUGGAGACGAAAAAUAGCAACCUUGAUAGGUCACUUGAGAACUCAUUUUGCGGAAAAAAAUCAAUUCGCUCAGAUAGAUGCACGCACUUCCCCUGCAAACACCAAUUAAAAGCUAGCCCAUGGUUAAUAUAAUGGCUAUAAUUCAAAUUGGCAUUUUGUGUGUCUACUAUAGCAAGUAAGACCCAAAAGUACUUCGUCAAAGUUUCUAAUUCUAUAUUGACUGGCACUCUUCCAGUCACGACUAGAAGACAAUUUACAUGUAAUCGGUAACGAAAAAUAAAUAAUUAAUCUAAAGAAUAAGGGUUGCUUGUUAAAAAUACGUUACCUUCUUUGUCAAAAGUAUAAUUUGUAUGAGUGUAAGUUAUAUGCUUUGACAAUGUAUAAUUCUUGAUAGCAUACAAUUAUAAAUACAUAUAUGUAUUUAUUACCAUCAGAAUAGUAUGUUAACUGUUGGUAUUUAAUGUAUGAACGAUUAGGUGCAAAGCCAACAUACUUACAGCAGCUACUAGAGGAUAAAAUAUAAUUUUGUUUACCCUAUUAUGAAGUAAAUAUGCCAAAAAUAUACUUAUGAAUAGUAUCAUUUACCCGACAGGAUCAACAAGAGAGUAAUUACCACAAAGCGAAGUUUGUAUAGAACAAUUUAUUAGGAGCGAUAACGAUUAUAUUUUUGCUGGAGAAGUUGGAGACUUAUGUGCAUUGAUAUAAACUUUCUUUCACUUAAAAUGUUAUAUUUAUUAAAAUUUUAAUUAUUUAUAAGCAGGAUUAGUAGAAUAGUCUUACUGAAUGUUCACUUUUGUAACCAUGGAUUUUUGUCCUAAGUUGUUAUAUGCUAGGAACAUUAGCAACAUAGAUUCACAAAAUGAAUUUUCUGAUCCAUAUUCUUGUGUAAUAUUCUCAAAACUUUGCUGCAUUUUUGUCUUUUGAUGGGAAUGACUGGCAUAUGAAUAUGAUGCACACAUUAGACGCAUCAAAUUUUGGAGUCAAAAUAAUAGUCACUGUACUUUCCAAUUAAAAAAUUUGUACGGGGAUACUAUCUGAAAGAGUUCAUGCUGAGUCCAACUCAUAAGAUUCAGAUAUAAGUGUUUUGCUGAGUCUAAGUCAUAAGGUUCAUUAGGAUAUAAGUGUUUCCGUAUCUCCGCAUAUUUUCCUUUUCUUAGAGAUGGGGAAUCAGAAUUCGAAGUAAGAGAAACAACUUUUAUUUAUUGUGCCUGGAUACACCUUUUAAUGUACAGUCUUACACAAUGAUAAACCAUAACUGGUAUUGCAGGUGUCACGCACCUUGUGCUGAAUAUAUAAUGUUUGUCCUUGGAUAUACCAUUGAUAUACAGUCGUACAACGAUCACAUGCCUAUAAUAUGUCUGAGAAGAUUUACAACGAACAGGGUUCAGUCUUCCACUUUUGAAUAAUCAAAGAGCGAGCUUGCAACAAUGUAAGUCAAUCUAAAAAAGAUACUUCGAUUGAAUGUUAUUUAUUGGUUUGAUCACCACUCGCCAGUGGAAGGUCUUUUGCUACUAUUUUGGGUUGCGACUGGAUCCACUUUCUGCUGAUGUUUCUAGAUGCAGUUGAAGCCACUUAUAUUGCUGCUUCUUGGAUGUUACUACAAACACCUUUAAAGUUGUUCUAGAUGCGGUUGGAACUACUUUUGAUGCUCUUUUUCUAGAUGGUGCUGCAGUUAUUUUUUUGUUGUUGUACUAUUAGGUUAGUCCAGUUGGUUACACAUCAAACUCUUCAGUACUUUUAACUUCUAAGAUCCAGGUCCAUCCAUUUUUGUUUCCUUCUGUAUAUGCUCUGUGUUCUUUGGAUUUAGUUUCGAGCAAUCUUAGUAAAGAUACUUAGUAUUAAAAUCAAUCCAUAAUACCCCUUGAAAACAACUAUCGCAACUAGGGGUUGAAAGGGGUAUGCUAUGCAGCUCUUUUGUGGGUCUGCCAUUUUCCUGUCACUAUAUCUC
rnacentral:lncRNA from 1 species